GACGAACCGUGCGAACGUUAUUCGGAAUCACUGGGCUUAAAGCGCGUGUAGGCGGGAGGGCACGUCCGUCGCUGAAAUCCCCCGGCUCAACCGGGGAACGGGCGCGGAUACGACCUUCCUGGAGGGGCGUAGGGGGACCUGGAACUUCCGGUGGAGCGGUGAAAUGCGUUGAGAUCGGAAGGAACGCCCGUGGCGAAAGCGAGGUCCUGGACGCCUACUGACGCUGAGACGCGAAAGCCAGGGGAGCAAACGGG
rnacentral:rRNA from 1 species